GACAACCAUUCUGGAGCUAGGUAUCCCCUUGUUCCUCUGAUUUUAGUCAUGACAUGGCUUUCAUCCCUAUCGAUCAGCUUUGCAAGACCAAAAUCGGAUAUCUUUGCAUUGAAUUUGUCAUCAAGGAGGAUAUUUCCAGGCUUGAUAUCAAGGUGAGCAAUCUUCUGUCGGCAUUCUUCAUGAAGAUAGGCCAAGCCUUUUGCAAUAUCCAGUAUAAUUCGGUAUCGAGUUGCCCAACUGAGUGAACCACUUGGGUUCUUUCUGAAGAUCCAUUUAUCUAGAGACCCAUUGCUCAUAUGCUCGUAAACAAGUAGCCUGUGAAACUUGUCAGAGCAGUAUCCUAUCAAUCUAACAAGAUUGAUGUGAUGGAUGCUUCCAAUGGUGAUGACUUCAGCCAUGAAUUCUUCCUCUCCAUGUCCAAAAUCACGCAAGCAUUUGACCGCAAUUUUGACAUUUCCAAGUUUUCCCUCAUACACUGGCCCAAAUCCUCCCUGUCCCAGCUUUUUGCUAAAGUUAUCAGUCGCUUCUCUCAGCUGUUUGUAGGAGAAUCGUGUUGGCAUGCCAGCCAGUCCCUUGAAUGGGUCUUCAUCUUCCAUCUUCUUUUUCACUAUUUUUCUGAUGAUGAGAAUGAUUAUGCAGAUAACUGCAACAAUAAUAGGAGCACCAACAUGGUAAGCUGUUGGAUUUAACUUUUUCCUUCUUGGUGGUGGAGGUAACCUUUGCACCUUGAUGUAUGCAGACAAAUUAUAUCCAUCUACUUCAGGUUUGUAAUUCAUGAGUGAUAAAACCUUUGGCAUUAGAUAGCAAGAACCGUUGGAGACACUAUGAUACUCGAAAAAGACUGCUUUGCAUGAACAGGCCUUCAAGCAAGCAUCUUUGCAGCUAUAUUCGUCAGUAAUCCAAUUUUUUCCUAAAUUGAAGUAUGUGACAUUUGGGAGGGGAAGAAGCUGUUGAUAUUGGAUCAAGUCACAAGACAGAGGAAUUGCCAAAGAGCACCCCAUGUCAGGUUGCCGGUUGUCCAACUGAUGAAAAAAUUGAUCUUCAUCCCCAAAAUUUUGAGUUGGGCAACUGCAUUGUCCUUCAGAACAGAUACCAUAUUCUCCACAAACUGUGGGAUACGCACAAUCAUCAAGAUCCACAUGCAAAACAUCAGCCUGAGGUUUCCACAUAAUACCAUCCCAUCUAUGAACUCUCAAGUGUCCAUCAUUCUCAAGGCUCAUGAACUGGGCUGAAGAUGGCCAUGGUAGUGAUAUAUCGAAUAGCUUGAUGUCGGUGUUGUUGAAACUAACGAAUGCUGAGAGGCUACCUUUUAAGAAGGAAAUGUAAGUCGUGUUGUUCUUUGCUCCAUCAGAGGAUAUGUUUAUCUUUUGGUGAACUAUGGCGCCAGUGAUAUUAAAUCUUCUUUGGUAAUAAAGCUGUGGUGGAUCUGAUUCAAUGAAAGCAUACAGACCUUUGCCCAGCACAGUGAGGUAGAACUGACCUUUAGUCCAGUUUGUCGCCAAGGAAUCUGAAGUAAGCCUCUUCCCUUGCCUCAGUGACUGCCCAAUGAGGAGCGUAUCAGUUGGGUGCUCAAAUGAUUCCCAAACUGUCUUCCCCAUUAUGUCGAAGAGAACCAUAUUCCCGGUCUCAUCAAGAUUCAUACCGACAACAUGGCUGUCAGAUGUGUUCGUUGACCAGACCAGAGAACCAUCAAAAUCUCGCAGUAUGAGAUUGCCAUCCUUGGUGAACUGGAGUGAUGCAUUGUCCUUCACUAGACGGGACCUGUUGGCGGUCCACAUGAUCCGUGGCGUGGACGAGGUAUUGAAGGCAGGGUUGCUCGGAUCACCAAUGGACAACGAGAAGAUGGCAAAGAGAAAUGCAUUGCAGGGAGUGGUGCAGAUGAAACCACAGGCAAAGAAUGGACUAUACCAUGCAGGGUUCGGCCUAACAAGAAUGGCUCUGAUCUUGGAACCAUCUGGGUAUGUUGCACUGUAGGGAAUGGUGGCGUUGUUGUUCGUCCAGAGAGAAGGAAGGUUGGCAAUGGGGCUGGGAUAAUCAAAGGACCAAGCAUGGGAGAAUGGAAUGAGUAGCAAGAAGAGAAGUAGGAGCAAGCUUUCAGCCCAAUGCAUGGCUGCUCUGUGAGUUCUUGGAUGGGACAUGGGGUAUCUUGCAGAUUAUGUGAUCUUCUGUUUGAGACGAAAGGUUUCAGAGACUCAGAGAGACAAGGAGUUUGGAGCAUGUUUUGGUAGGCAACAUCGUACAAUGACAGGCGCUCGUGUAUCAGGUUAAAAAAUUGAACAAAUAGAUGAGUGGAGAGUUAGUGGUUCUCAAGUCCCAUUAUGCUAAUAUGAUCUGCACAGGAAACAAUUUGCCGACGGCUGUUGAUAUCCACUGCCACCUUGAUAAUGUACUUCAGUGCUAUGCGAAUUGCGGAGCAGUCAAUCAUGUAGCUUCUCAUGCCUCCUCUUGCUAAAAUACUAGGAGUGUAUUAUAGCCAAGGUUCAACUUUCUCACCGACAUCAGCAACCUGCAACCUGAUGAAUUCUGCAGGCACGGUUGUUCUACCCGUUGACAUAUUUGAUAACCUGAAUACUGGGGUUUGCAAAACAUAUUAAAUUGGUACUUGUGUAUUUUAACAAGAAACUGGGUCGGUGGCUACUUACCACAAGCAAUGCCAUUUGGCCAUCAUUCCUCUCUUUCUUCAAUCUUCACUCUAGAAUUUAUUUUAUGGGAACUUCAUGAAACUUUUGAGUUUUAGUUAGGCCUUGAUGGAAAAAAAGGAGUCAUUGUUCGCACACCUUUGACCUGGAAGCUCAUACUGCCGGCGGAUUGACUGGCUUGGUUUGAUAGACUGGGAUUCGAUUAGUUUUUUUUUUUUGGUACUCUAUGAUGUGAACAACUGAAAAAUACAAUCUCUUUUGUCACUGUAGUAUUGGCUGGUUAGCGUCAUGACUAUUUCUACAUAGUACCAUCCAGAUCAUUAUGACUUGAUGAAGACUUCUACAGGAGCACUACAACCUUUUGCAUAUGAAGGUAAAUUUCCAUGUUAGCGACGUGAGCUCAAGGGAAGCCACAGACCCGGCGCCGAGAGCGAACGAUGCUGAUAGGCUGAUACGUAUCUCCAGUUUGCCAGAUCGAGCUGCUUCAGCACAUCAACCUCAUGGAACAGCACACAGGCCCAGCUCACAAAACCCAAACUGAAACAACAAUGGAGAGACCAUCAUAUCAUAUCAUCCACAUGAUCUCGAUCCAAUCUGCACGCAAGGUUUCUGAACAGGGCAAAACCUGGGCGUGCAAGUGUGAAAAUGUGCUGCGCCGUGAAAAGGAUUUCGGCGACGGUCUGCUUCGUCAAGCAGAAGAGUUGAGAAUGGACACACGUUUUGGGUUUGAAAAAUCAUGGCUACCGACUCUGGAAGCUGACGAAAUGGGGGAGGAUAAUUAAAACAAGUACGAAAACGUGAUCAUGGUGUAAAUUUGUACAGGAAUAUUUUGUUAGGUAGACACCUGAGAAGAUAUUUCAUGCACAAAAAUGUCAAGAGAGGUGAUGAGGGCCGACGGGGAGAUGAUGCUAGGAAAAUUCAGAUGAUCAAGAAGGUGCAGCCAGGAGUCGGUUCCAUAUAACAGAAAGAUUCUCUGCACCUGCUGUGCACCUAGCUGUUAACUUCGAUUGUUGUCUUUGUUCCAGAUUGUAGCCAACUGAACUAAAAGAUUCACAUAUAUAUCAGCAGAGGCUGUGUUCUUUGGUAGAUGAAAGAUAAAAUAUUAUAUGAUUUUUUGAUAGCAGAU